UGAGAACUACUCCUUUUAUGGGUGGUUUGGCUAAGCAUGAAGAAAUUCCGUGCAAAGAAUUUUUCUUCAUGCUUUUAUUAUAUCA
rnacentral:antisense_RNA from 10 species